rnacentral:rRNA from 1 species
UGGGUUUGACAUAUUUCUGACAUCCGUAGAGAUACGGCUUUCCUUCGGGACAGAUAUACAGGUGCUGCAUGGCUGUCGUCAGCUCGUGUCGUGAGAUGCUCGGUUAAGUCCGGCAACGAGCGCAACCCAUGUCGUUAGUUGCAAACAGUUCGGCUGUGCACUCUAGCGAGACUGCCCGUGUCAAGCGGGAGGAAGGCGUGGACGACGUCAAGUCCGUAUGGCCCUUAUGCCCAGGGCUGCACACGUGCUACAAUGGCCGGAACAAUGGGACGCAAUGCCGCGAGGCGGAGCAAAUCCUCAACAUCGGCCCCAGUUCGGAUUGGAGUCUGCAACUCGACUCCAUGAAGU